rnacentral:tRNA from 1 species
UUUAUUAAAUUAAAAUGAGACUUCUAAGCAGGUUGUCGCAGGUUCGAUUCCUGCAGGGGUCGCCA